rfam:Stegodyphus mimosarum contig109943, whole genome shotgun sequence.
GCCUUCGUGGUGUAGUGGUCACCACGCUCGACGCGUAACCGAGAGAUCCGUGGUUCGAUUCCCGGCUAGGGCA